UUCAUCUCUGAAAAUAAUCGACACAAAUGUGGUGUAUUUCAACAGAGAUAUCAUUACAAAAGUAUUAAAACUCUGGGGUUUUUUAUUCUGACAAUGAGGUACGAUUAUUGGUCUGGUUACAUACUGGAUUACUGAUCAUGGGGUUUAUGAGUUCAGACUUUAUUAUAGUCAGAUAAACCUUCCGUUUUCAACCUGCUUGAUUGACACCAGAUUUUUUUCUUUUCUUUUUCCCACUCUUAAUUCCCAGUUCAAAGAAUAGCAGCUCCAAGGGAAGGGUUUUCACAUGUAAAACUAUCAAUAUAUAAUGCUUUAAAAUUUCUCUCCCACCUUCUCACAAACGACACUAAAAACAUUGUGUGUGGUUGCCGACAGACAUUUCAGUACAACAUAACACACUGUACCCAAAUAUCUUCAUACUCAUCAGAUACACCAUCAUAAUAAGAGGAUUAGCCAACAAUUUUUUAGGUAUUAAAGGAUUAAAUUAUGGACAUGUAAUAUCAUUUAGAAAAUUACAGUGUGUCAACUGAAGCAAUAUGGUUUCUAUCUGCUGUUGAAGCUAUUAAUUAUGUUACUAAAUACCCAUGGAGGACACUUAAAACGUCACUAUAUGCUUGAUUACAGGGGUUUCGCAUUUGAAGAAAAAUAAACUGGUUAUGCUUAUAACUAACAGUUAUACACAGUUUAGGCUAUAGAACUAACAACAGUACCCAGCUUAUGUCAAAUUAGUCAUAGUACCCAGCUUUAACAAAACUAGCUGUGGUACCCAACUUGUUUUACAAAUUGCUGUAGUACCCAGCUUAUUAUUUAGCACUAACAACAGUACCUAGUUUACUAUAUUGAAAUAGCAGCAGGACCGAGCUUUAUAGAAAAUAGCAGCAAAGAAUGAACUCAACCCGUAACAUUCUUGAAAAUAUGUCCCACAUGCAAAAUUUUAACUUGCUUGGUGCAUAACUGUAGCCAACAACUUAGAACAAACACACACGUAUUUAUGCAUGCACAUCAACCAUGU